GACGUAGGGCGCGAGCGUUGUCCGGAUUUAUUGGGCGUAAAGAGCUCGUAGGUGGUUUGUCGCGUUGUUCGUGAAAACUCACAGCUCAACUGUGGGCGUGCGGGCGAUACGGGCAGACUAGAGUACUGCAGGGGAGACUGGAAUUCCUGGUGUAGCGGUGGAAUGCGCAGAUAUCAGGAGGAACACCGGUGGCGAAGGCGGGUCUCUGGGCAGUAACUGACGCUGAGGAGCGAAAGCGUGGGGAGCGAACAGG
rnacentral:rRNA from 1 species